rnacentral:tRNA from 1 species
UUACUUUGGCAGAAUAGUGCAAUAGAUUUAGAAUCUAGUUAAGUGAAUUUUAUAUUUACAUGUAAUAC